CUUGAAUUGGGUGAGCACCGAGGUGUCAUCGGACUCAAUGAAGACUUGCUGGGUUGCCUGCUUGUCGAACGUGGCGUUGGUGAGGGCCUGGGAGACUGACCCAACUAUGUCAAGGCCUUUCUUCGAUGCUAGAAUCCCGGAAACCGCCUUUGUUUUGGCCAAUUCGAGAAAGUCGUUCAAAGUGACGAACUUGCCCUUGUUCUUGUUCUGGGGAUCUCUUGGGUACCCGGUGUCACCUCCAAAUGGGCUCUCAAUUUGAGCUGAAAUAACCGAACUCAUCCACUUCAGUACAGGUUGUCAAUCCGUUCAAAAUUUUAAACGUUAACAUCUUUAUUUCCUCCUAAAACUCAACAUUAUUUUAAAUUUGCUUGUGAUCAGAAUGUAACCGUGCUUGAAGGGCAUAACGUUUUCUAGGAGAUAAUGUCAGAGAAACACUCACGCUUGAGGGUCUGGAUCUCGGUCCAUGAUAGGUCGAACGAGAAGACUCCGCUGGCCGGUUGAAUUUCUGGGAUGGUGGUGGAUUUGGACAUGAAGGUUGGCAUGGCGGUUGUAUAGGGGGAAAUGUCAGCUGAACCCAAGCAGAAGGCGAUACCAUCCGAGGACAUUUGAACUGUACAGUCGAUCAUAUCAGCACCAUCAUUUACUGCCUGCUGGUAUGCCAAGUCCGUGCUCCCGGGGUAAACUCCGCUUGCCCCAUUGUGACUUAUGACAAGAACUUUUGCUGGUACAUAGCAAAAGUUUUUACAAGAUCAAUGAAGCUUACGGGUUGAAAGUGUUACGGUGCUUGUGUACCAAAUUGGAUCAAAAAUAUUGUCUUACCUGUGCUGGGUUUGGUUGCGUUGCUGUUGCUGUGGGCAAAACACACUGCAGGUAAAGGGGAAUCGAUUAGCGAUGUUCUUUCCCUGCAAUCUUAUUAGUAGAGCUCAAGCAGGCUAAUAACUUCUCAGAGGAUGUACUCACUGAUGGAUUGUGCUGCGGUGGGUGGGAAGUCUGUGAGGAACCCGUCGACUGCGAACUGGGAGUCAAUGAAUUGGAGAUACUCAGAGGUUGGGUCGUAGCUGUAGUUGUAGCAUGCUGGGAAAUCGUUGGCAAACCCAGAGGCAUAGACUUCCAGGCCAAGCUUGUGGGCAUCCGCUACAAGAGUAGUUGGGGCUCCGAGGUACUUAUCUACAGUGACAGGCCAGAUGUAGUCCUUGGGGACCAGGAUCCCGGUCGCAUAGGCCUUGACCGCCUGGAGGUCCUUGAGGAUUGAGCCGUAUGUCUGAUUGGUUGUGGGCUCAACAUCGUUGGUGCCGAGGAGCCGGAGGAUGAGCUUCGUCCUGACCUUGUUUACCUUCCCUUGCAUUGCCUUCAAGAAGCCAAUUUCCGGGGAAGAGAUGUAGCCUAACGGAUAGAAUCUUAAGACCUUUUGGAUGUAAGAUACUGGGCUAUGCUUUUGCUGGUUGUAGAACAUAUCAUGCUGCAAGACAAGUAAAAUAAAGUUACCCGAGGGGAGGAAAACAUUCUAGUACCGGAAAAUCGGCUUUUGUGCUUUGCCAAGAAAGACCCGAAAGAUCUUUUCGUCUUUCA